AUGCUUAACACAUGCAAGUCGAACGGCAGCACAGUCGUAGCAAUACGAUGGGUGGCGAGUGGCGGACGGGUGAGGAAUACAUCGGGACCUGCCCAGACGUGGGGGAUAACGUAGGGAAACUUACGCUAAUACCGCAUACGUCCUACGGGAGAAAGCGGGGGAUCUUCGGACCUCGCGCGGUUGGAUGGACCGAUGUUCGAUUAGCUAGUUGGUGGGGUAAUGGCUCACCAAGGCGACGAUCGAUAGCUGGUCUGAGAGGAUGAUCAGCCACACUGGGACUGAGACACGGCCCAGACUCCUACGGGAGGCAGCAGUGGGGAAUAUUGGACAAUGGGCGCAAGCCUGAUCCAGCAAUGCCGCGUGUGUGAAGAAGGCCUUCGGGUUGUAAAGCACUUUUAUCAGGAGCGAAAUGCCAUUGGUUAAUACCCGGUGGAGCUGACGGUACCUGAGGAAUAAGCACCGGCUAACUUCGUGCCAGCAGCCGCGGUAAUACGAAGGGUGCAAGCGUUAAUCGGAAUUACUGGGCGUAAAGCGUGCGUAGGCGGUUUUUUAAGUCUGCUGUGAAAUCCCCGGGCUCAACCUGGGAAUGGCAGUGGAAACUGGAAAGCUAGAGUGUGUCAGAGGAUGGUGGAAUUCCCGGUGUAGCGGUGAAAUGCGUAGAGAUCGGAAGGAACACCAGUGG
rnacentral:rRNA from 1 species